UUUGCACAAGAGCAAAAACAUCUGCCUG
rnacentral:piRNA from 1 species